UCUUCCGUAGUAUAGUGGUUAGUAUAUGAGCUUGUCAUCUUCUCGAAAGAGACAGAGGAACAACGCUCGGGACCCGGGUUCAAUUCCCGGCGGGAGAG